rnacentral:tRNA from 1 species
GCCUUCGUGGUGUAAUGGUCAGCACACUCGGCGAGGAUUUGAGAGGUCCGUGGUUAGAGUCCCGGCGAGGGCA